rnacentral:rRNA from 1 species
CACGUAGGCACCAAGCGUUGUCCGGAUUUAUUGGGCGUAAAGAGCUCGUAGGCGGUUCAGUAAGUCGGGUGUGAAAACUCUGGGCUUAACCCGGAGAGGCCACUCGAUACUGCUGAACUUGAGUACGGUAGGGGAGUGGGGAAUUCCUGGUGUAGCGGUGAAAUGCGCAGAUAUCAGGAGGAACACCGGUGGCGAAGGCGCCACUCUGGGCCGAAACUGACGCUGAGGAGCGAAAGCGUGGAUAGCAAACAGG